rnacentral:rRNA from 1 species
AAAACAUGGUCUUUUGUUUAUAUAAAAGAUUUAACCUGCCCUAUGAUUAUAUUUAAAUGGCUGCAGUAUUUUGACUGUACAAAGGUAGCAUAAUCAUUUGUCUUUUAAUUGAGGACUAGUAUGAAUGGUUGGAUGAAAAAUAUUCUUUCUUUAUUUUAUAAAAAAAAAUUGAUUUUUUAGUUAAAAAGCUAAAAUAUAUUUAAAGGACGAGAAGACCCUAUAGAACUUUACUUUUAAUUUAUAUAAACUUUAUAUAUUUUAAAAUUAUAUAUAGAUUUUAUUAGUUUUGUUGGGGUGAUAGAAAAAAUUAUAUAACUUUUUCUUAUAUUUACAUAUAUCUAUGUUUUUUUGAUCUUUUAUUAAGGAUAAUAAGAUUAAGUUACCUUAGGGAUAACAGCGUUAUUUUUUUGGAGAGUUCAUAUUGAUGAAAAAGUUUGCGACCUCGAUGUUGGAUUAAAAUAAGUUACAGGAGUAUAAUAUUGUAUACUAGGUCUGUUCGACCUUUAAAUUUUUACAUGAUCUGAGU